GGCGUGGUACUUUAAAAAAAAGGUUUGAUUUGCAUUCAAAGAUUGGGUUUUUACCUCUACGCUG
rnacentral:tRNA from 1 species